rnacentral:rRNA from 1 species
AGUGGAUGGGGAGCAACCUAGUUGUGCGUGUGUAAAGGUAGUGCCAAGAAAAGCGGUGAUCAUGAUGAAAAUCAAUUCCCGGUACCCGAAACCGACACAGGUGGGCAAGUAGAGAAUACUAAGGGGCGCGAGGUAACUCUCUCCAAGGAACUCGGCAAAAUGACCCCGUAACUUAGGGAGAAGGGGUGCCACCGAGAGGUGGUCGCAGUGAAGAGGCCCAGGCGACUGUUUAGCAAAAACAUAGGUCUCUGCAAACUCGAAAGAGGAGGUAUAGGGGCUGACGCCUGCCCAGUGCCGGAAGGUUAAAGAAGUUGGUCAGUCUUAGGAUAAAGCUAGCGACUGAAGCCCCGGUGAACGGCGGCCGUAACUAUAACGGUCCUAAGGUAGCGAAAUUCCUUGUCGGGUAAGUUCCGACCCGCACGAAAGGCGUAACGAUCUGGGCGCUGUCUCGGAGAGAGGCUCGGCGAAAUAGGAUUGUCUGUGAAGAUACGGACUACCUGCAUUUGGACAGAAAGACCCUAUGAAGCUUUACUAUAGCUUGGAAUUGUGUUCGGGCUUCCUGUGCGCAGGAUAGGUGGGAGGCGAAGAAGGUAUUCUUGUGGGGAUACUGGAGCCAACGGUGAGAUACCACUCUCAGGAGGCUAGAAUUCUAACUUAAUUAAGGACAGUUUCAGGUGGGUAGUUUGACUGGGCGGUCGCCUCCAAAAAGGUAACGGAGGCGUACAAAGGUUCCCUCAGACUGGUUGGAAAUCAGUCGCAGAGUGCAAAGGCAGAAGGGAGCUUGACUGCGAGAAGUACAGUUCGAGCAGGGUGGAAACACGGUCUUAGUGAUCCGACGGUGCUGUGUGGAAGGGCCGUCGUUCAACGGAUAAAAGUUACUCUAGGAUAACAGGCUGAUCUCCCCCAAGAGUUCACAUCGACGGGGAGGUUUGGCACCUCGAUGUCGGCUUAUCGCAACCUGGGGCGGAAGUACGUCCCAAGGGUUGGGCUGUUCGCCCAUUAAAGCGGUACGUGAGCUGGGUUCAGAACGUCGUGAGACAGUUCGGUCCAUAUCCGAUGUAGGCGUGAGAAUAUUGAGAGGAGCCUUCCUUAGUACGAGAGGACCGGGAAGGACGCACCGCUGGUGUACCUGUUAUGAUGCCAAUUGUAAACGCAGGGUAGCCAAGUGCGGAGAGGAUAACCGCUGAAAGCAUCUAAGUGGGAAGCCCACCUCAAGAUGAGUAUUCUGGUGUAAGGUCACGGGAAGACGACCCGUAAAUAGGCACGAGGUGGAAGUGCAGAGAUGUAUGAAGCCGAAGUGUACUAAUAGACCGUCGGCUUG